rnacentral:rRNA from 1 species
CCGGUGGAGUAACCAUUUGGAGCUAGCCGUCGAAGGUGGGACAAAUGAUUGGGGUGAAGUCGUAACAAGGUAGCCGUAUCGGAAGGUGCGGCUGGAUCACCUCCUUUCUAAGGA